rnacentral:rRNA from 1 species
AGGUGGUUAUUGCGGCGGGGCUCACCUCUUCCCAUUCCGAACAGAGUAGUUAAGCCCGCCUGCGCAGAUGGUACUGCAUCUUGUGGGAGAGUAUGUCACCGCCUUUCU